GACGAACGCUGGCGGCGUGCCUAAUACAUGCAAGUCGAACGAACUCUGGUAUUGAUUGGUGCUUGCAUCAUGAUUUGCAUUUGAGUGAGUGGCGAACUGGUGAGUAACACGUGGGAAACCUGCCCAGAAGCGGGGGAUAACACCUGGAAACAGAUGCUAAUACCGCAUAACAACUUGGACCGCAUGGUCCGAGUUUGAAAGAUGGCUUCGGCUAUCACUUUUGGAUAGUCCCGUGGCGUAUUAGCUAGAUGGUGGGGUAACGGCUCACCAUGGCAAUGAUACGUAGCCGACCUGAGAGGGUAAUCGGCCACAUUGGGACUGAGACACGGCCCAAACUCCUACGGGAGGCAGCAGUAGGGAAUCUUCCACAAUGGACGAAAGUCUGAUGGAGCAACGCCGCGUGAGUGAAGAAGGGUUUCGGCUCGUAAAACUCUGUUGUUAAAGAAGAACAUAUCUGAGAGUAACUGUUCAGGUAUUGACGGUAUUUAACCAGAAAGCCACGGCUAACUACGUGCCAGCAGCCGCGGUAAUACGUAGGUGGCAAGCGUUGUCCGGAUUUAUUGGGCGUAAAGCGAGCGCAGGCGGUUUUUUAAGUCUGAUGUGAAAGCCUUCGGCUCAACCGAAGAAGUGCAUCGGAAACUGGGAAACUUGAGUGCAGAAGAGGACAGUGGAACUCCAUGUGUAGCGGUGAAAUGCGUAGAUAUAUGGAAGAACACCAGUGGCGAAGGCGGCUGUCUGGUCUGUAACCGACGCUGAGGCUCGAAAGUAUGGGUAGCAAACAGGAUUAGAUACCCUGGUAGUCCAUACCGUAAACGAUGAAUGCUAAGUGUUGGAGGGUUUCCGCCCUUCGGUGCUGCAGCUAACGCAUUAAGCAUUCCGCCUGGGGAGUACGGCCGCAAGGCUGAAACUCAAAGGAAUUGACGGGGGCCCGCACAAGCGGUGGAGCAUGUGGUUUAAUUCGAAGCUACGCGAAGAACCUUACCAGGUCUUGACAUACUAUGCAAAUCUAAGAGAUUAGACGUUCCCUUCGGGGACAUGGAUACAGGUGGUGCAUGGUUGUCGUCAGCUCGUGUCGUGAGAUGUUGGGUUAAGUCCCGCAGCGAGCGCAACCCUUAUUAUCAGUUGCCAGCAUUAAGUUGGGCACUCUGGUGAGACUGCCGGUGACAAACCGGAGGAAGGUGGGGAUGACGUCAAAUCAUCAUGCCCCUUAUGACCUGGGCUACACACGUGCUACAAUGGAUGGUACAACGAGUUGCGAACUCGCGAGAGUAAGCUAAUCUCUUAAAGCCAUUCUCAGUUCGGAUUGUAGGCUGCAACUCGCCUACAUGAAGUCGGAAUCGCUAGUAAUCGCGGAUCAGCAUGCCGCGGUGAAUACGUUCCCGGGCCUUGUACACACCGCCCGUCACACCAUGAGAGUUUGUAACACCCAAAGUCGGUGGGGUAACCUUUUAGGAACCAGCCGCCUAAGGUGGGACAGAUGAUUAGGGUG
rnacentral:rRNA from 1 species